rnacentral:rRNA from 1 species
UGAGGAACAUGACCUUCGGCGGGGGAGUAGCCGGCCCAACGGCCGGGUAAUACCGCGUACGACCACUUUGGGACAUCCCUCGGUGGUGAAAGCAGCAAUGCGCCGAUGGAGUGCCUCGCGGCCUAUCAGCUAGUUGGUGAGGUAACGGCUCACCAAGGCGACGACGGGUAGCUGGUCUGAGAGGAUGGCCAGCCACACUGGGACUGAGACACGGCCCAGACCCCUACGGGAGGNAGCG